rnacentral:rRNA from 1 species
AGUGAACGCUGGCGGCGUGCCUAAUACAUGCAAGUCGAACGGAGUGGCGCACGGGUGAGUAAUAUAUAGCUAAUCUGCCCCUUGCUGACGGACCACAGUUAGAAAUGACUGAUAAUACUCCAUAGAAAGGGAUGAGACUAUAUCGUAUCAGCUUGUAGGUGGGGUAACGGCCUACCGAGGCGAUGACGCGUAACUGGUCUUAGAGGAUGAGCAGGCACAGUGGAACUGAGACACGGUCGAAACUCCUACGGGAGGCAGCAGUAGGGAAUAUUGCGCAACGGGCGAGACUCUGACGGAGCAACGCCGCGUGGAGGAUGGCACUUUUCGGAGCGUAAUCCCCUUGUUUUAGAGAAACGGUACCUAUCGAAUAAGCACCGGCUAACUCCGUGCCAGCAGCCGCGGUAAUAC